rnacentral:rRNA from 1 species
UACCAGCCAUGCCGCGUGUGUGAAGAAGGCCUUUUGGUUGUGAAAGCACUUUAAGCGAGGAGGAGGCGCUCUAGGUUAAUACCUUAGAAGCGUGGACGUUACUCGCAGAAUAAGCACCGGCUAACUCUGUGCCAGCAGCCGCGGUAAUACAGAGGGUGCGAGCGUUAAUCGGAUUUACUGGGCGUAAAGCGUACGUAGGCGGCUUUUUAAGUCGGAUGUGAAAUCCCCGAGCUUAACUUGGGAAUUGCAUUCGAUACUGGGAAGCUAGAGUAUGGGAGAGGAUGGUAGAAUUCCAGGUGUAGCGGUGAAAUGCGUAGAGAUCUGGAGGAAUACCGAUGGCGAAGGCAGCCAUCUGGCCUAAUACUGACGCUGAGGUACGAAAGCAUGGGGAGCAAACAGGAUUAGAUACCCUGGUAGUCCAUGCCGUAAACGAUGUCUACUAGCCGUUGGGGCCUUUGAGGCUUUAGUGGCGCAGCUAACGCGAUAAGUAGACCGCCUGNGGAGUACGGUCGCAAGACU